UCCAUCCUUGUUUUUGGGGAGCAAAGUAUUCAAUGAUCGUAUAGUGAGAGUACUGUUGCUAAAACCAAGAUUUAAAAAAAUGACUGCAUCCACAUUUCCGUGUGAUGCAAUUUUUGGAAGC